AUGAGACUUGAUCAGACUCCUGUCUUGUCUCCACUUCUCUCGUCUCUUGUCCCCCCAAUUCCCACUCCCUCUUCCAGGGUUUGCGUGGACAGUCCUGCAGGUCGGGACAAGUGGCGCCCAACGUGGGGCCUGGGCAGGAGGGUCGAACGUGAGGAACAGACGCAAAGAAAGGCCGGCGAUACAAGUGAGCAGAGCGUCCUUCAGUCGCCGCGGGAACCUGCCACGUUGGAACCGAAGAGAUGAUUCCUGUCAGGAUGCUCCUGUGCCUUACAAUCCUGCAUUACCCCAUGCCCAGAAUCCAUGCUGGUUUCGAUGACCCUAGAGCUGCUCAAAAACUGCGACAGAAACUUGGUUCAGCCCGUACAGUUCUCCGGCUUCCCCUGUGUCUAUUCCCCAUCCGUCAACAGCACUGAUGAGGUAUGGCCGGCUUUGCCAACUGCAGCGAAGCGUUUAAUGCUACGGGUCCUUUAUGUGCUCCAAAUGGUACAGUUUUUGUCUGCGGUAGCAAUAGGGCUUACACCCUAUUGCCUGGGAACUGGACAGGCAGGUGUGCGGUCACUUACCUCUUUCCAGACAUAGACAUCAUCCCUGGAGAUGAACCUGUUCCCAUUCCUACCGUAGAUCACAUCAUAGGAAGGUCCAAAAGAGCAGUGCAGCUAAUCCCGCUGCUUGUAGGUUUGGGAGUAACUACCGCCGUAGCAUCUGGAGCUACAGGCCUGGGCGUCUCCCUCACCCAAUACACCAAACUAUCCAGACAGCUAAUCUCAGAUGUUCAGAUCCUUUCAGACACUAUCCAGGACCUACAGGACCAGAUGGACUCCUUGGCUGAGGUAGUGCUACAAAAUAGAAGGGGCUUAGACCUACCUACAGCAGAGCAGGGAGGCAUCUGUUUGGCUUUACAGGAGAAAUGUUGCUUCUAUGCAAACAAAUCUGGAGUCGUCACAGACAAGAUUAAACAACUACAAGAUGACCUAGAACGGUGAAGAAAGGAGAUGGCGGCCAACCCAUUCUGGACCGGAUUAAAUGGACUCUUACCCUACCUCUUACCGUUUUGGGGUCCCCUCAUUACCCUGCUGCUCCUCCUUACACUGGCACCUUUGUUGCUUAACAAGCUCAUGGCAUUCAUUAAACAACAGGUUGAGGCCAUUCAGGCUAAGCCUAUACGGGUCCAUUAUCAUCGCCUUGAGAUGAACGAACAGGGUGGCUCAUGCUUGUCGUGAAAUAAGAUAUGACACAUUGUCGGCCACCUCCCUGCAAGCUGGACUGGACAGCCAAAGACGGGUAAGAUUGGGUCUAAACCACAGCAACCUAAGACAGGUCUUAGUCGCUCUGAGGACUAUCGACCGAUGACGGGUACGGGUGGUUUCCUAAGACUCGACAACCUAAGACAGGCACAGUCCCCGAGGGGAACCCUCUCGGCAUUAAAAAUAAUAAAAAAGGGGGACCUGUCCGGAGCCUUGAGGCCCGGCUACAGCAUUGCCUCUGACGCCUGAGCUCACUAGUUUUCCACUCCACAAGCAGCAGCACAGUCAGUUCCACUGUGGGAGAAGCUGACACUUCCCACCUUGCUUAAUGGCCGCUUUGCGGUUUGGCCUUACCCCGCCCUUUUCCUUUCCCGCCUUGCUGACCUAUAUAACCUGCUAUUCAGCGUACAAUAAAUGAGACUUGAUCAGA